AGAGUUUGAUCAUGGCUCAGGAUGAACGCUGGCGGUCUGCUUAACACAUGCAAGCCGAACGGAGUCCUUCGGGACUUAGUGGCGGACGGGUGAGUAACGCGUGAGAAUCUGCCUUCAGGUUGGGGACAACAGUUGGAAACGACUGCUAAUACCCAAUGUGCCGAGAGGUGAAAGCUUUAGUGCCUGAGGAUGAGCUCGCGUCUGAUUAGCUAGUUGGAGUGGUAAUGGCACACCAAGGCGACGAUCAGUAGCUGGUCUGAGAGGAUGAUCAGCCACACUGGGACUGAGACACGGCCCAGACUCCUACGGGAGGCAGCAGUGGGGAAUUUUCCGCAAUGGGCGCAAGCCUGACGGAGCAAGACCGCGUGAGGGAGGAAGGCUCUUGGGUUGUAAACCUCUUUUAUCAGGGAAGAAGAUCUGACGGUACCUGAUGAAUCAGCAUCGGCUAACUCCGUGCCAGCAGCCGCGGUAAUACGGAGGAUGCAAGCGUUAUCCGGAUUUAUUGGGCGUAAAGCGUCCGCAGGUGGUUUUACAAGUCUGCUGUUAAAGCGCGAGGCUUAACCUCGUACAGGCAGUGGAAACUGUGAGACUAGAGUAUGGUAGGGGUAGCGGGAAUUCCCAGUGUAGCGGUGAAAUGCGUAGAUAUUGGGAAGAACACCAGCGGCGAAAGCGCGCUACUGGGCCAUUACUGACACUCAUGGACGAAAGCUAGGGGAGCGAAAGGGAUUAGAUACCCCAGUAGUCC
rnacentral:rRNA from 1 species